CCUACGGGAGGCUGCAGUGAGGAAUAUUGGUCAAUGGGCGGAAGCCUGAACCAGCCAAGUCGCGUGAGGGAGUAAGGCCCUACGGGUCGUAAACCUCUUUUGCCGGGGAGCAGUGCCCAGCUCGUGAGCUGGGAGGGAGCGUACCCGGAGAAAAAGCAUCGGCUAACUCCGUGCCAGCAGCCGCGGUAAUACGGAGGAUGCGAGCGUUAUCCGGAUUUAUGGGGUUUAAAGGGUGUGUGGGCGGGCCUUCAGGCCGGCGGGAAAAUUGCGGGGCUCAACCCCGCCGAGCCGGCGGAACCGGGGGCCUUGAGUGCCGGAGAGGUACGCGGAAUGCGUGGUGUAGCGGUGAAAUGCAUAGAUAUCACGCAGAACCCCGAUUGCGAAGGCAGCGUACCGGCCGGUCACUGACGCUGAGGCACGAAAGCGCGGGUAUCGAACAGGAUUAGAUACCCUUGUAGUC
rnacentral:rRNA from 1 species